rnacentral:rRNA from 1 species
AUGGCCUUCAUGGGACCCAAGCGGCAGAGGCCUCCCAUGAUCUACGUUGCUUCGUUGUUAGCGGCGGCCGCACACGUGCCGGCCUCCGCCGACAUGGCUUCUUUCCCUGUCUGCUUGACGCUUUGCCGCCAAUUGCUCGCAUCGGUUUGCUUGGAGACGGUGUUGUCUAGCCUGGACUGGCGAGGAGGGGGUGGCGAUGGCAAUGGUGGUGACACCGGAUUCAGAGGGUUUGCUGGCAAGCCCACCUGUAUCUGGUUGGCUCGUCAGGCAACCCAGGCAGCUGCAAUGUCAGAGAACUCCUUCUUCUAUUCGUCGAAGGCCAUGGUGGGUGUUGUACAAGGAGGAAGAGCCGACGCGUGCAAGCUGCGGUGCGCUGGGUUGGGCUGCACGGACUGCCCCAGCUUGGAACUGUACGCCGAUCUCGUCCCGGUGUCGUGUCGCGCGCAGCGACACAAAAACUACUAUCCCCGCCAGCGCUAUAUAUAUCCCCUCCCCGUCCCGCUCUUCCACUCCACCACCCACACCGCGCAGCUCGCUACCAAGCCUGCCAAGUCCCAACAAGCAGCAGCAGCAAGCGAGCCAACGAGUCCUCCGGUCGCUCGUCGGAGGCAGGGCCAGGCAACGCAACGCAGCAUGUGCAACCUCAUCACGAUCCCGUCGGUAGCCUGGCUGCACCGCGCCGUGCGCCGGUGGCGGGCCCGCCGCUCCGCGUCCGCCCCGGUUCCCGCGGGGCACGUGGCGGUGUGUGCGGACGGCGCGCGGUUCAUGGUGCGGCUGGCGCACCUGAGCCACCCGGCGUUCCUGGAGCUGCUCCGGCAGGCGGAGGAGGAGUACGGCUUCCCGUCCGGCGCCUCCGGCCCCGUCGCGCUCCCCUGCGACAAGGGCCGCCUCCGCGACGUCCUCCGCCGCGUCUCUUCCUUGUCCGGCUCCGAGGAGCCGCGCCUCUCCUCCUUCUGCCGCCGCCGCGGCGACUCGCGGCCGCUGCUGCAGGGGAUGGCCUCCCGUGAGCGCGCGCGCCGCGGCACCGAACGAUCGGGCGACGGAGCACCCAAUUUCUGCCAUGCACAGCGGCAGCAGCCGGUGACAGACACGGUCCCCCGGACGCGUACGCUCCGCACAGCAGGCGCCGAAACGCUGAUCAGAAGGGCCUGCGUGCUCAUCUGCGCUGCGUAA